rnacentral:lncRNA from 1 species
UAUGGAUGUCAAACUGCAAAAGUAAGUAAUUUAUAUUCAAUUUCCUUUAAUAUGAAGUUUGUUCUCAAAUAAAUUCUUUUUUGACAGCCUCAUGGUUGCGGGUAUUUCAUGUGGUAUGAUCCUCCGAUGCAGCCGAGAGCUAUUCAAGUGAUUCCUGGUUUGUUGAGGAAGUUGAGGGCUCUUGAAGAUGAAGCUCAAAAUGUUAGACGCAAACAUAGGAUUUACAAGAUAAUCAUAUGGGUUUCCUUGAUUUUAUUACUUUGGAAUUUCUUUGGAACCAUCUCUGUGCAAGAAGAUGCUUAAAUCUGAGAAAUUUGUAAUGAAGAUAGGUUGUGUGAAGUCCAUCUUUGAAAUGUAAUGAAUUGAUUGCAAUGAAGCAAAGUUGG